rnacentral:rRNA from 1 species
UACAGAGGUGGCAAGCGUUGUUCGGAAUUACUGGGCGUAAAGGGCGCGUAGGCGGCCUUCUAAGUCAGACGUGAAAUCCCCCGGCUUAACCUGGGAACUGCGUCUGAUACUGGGAGGCUUGAGUAUGGGAGAGGGAUGUAGAAUUCCAGGUGUAGCGGUGAAAUGCGUAGAUAUCUGGAGGAAUACCGGUGGCGAAGGCGGCAUCCUGGACCAUAACUGACGCUGAGGCGCGAAAGCCAGGGGAGCAAACGGG